rnacentral:rRNA from 1 species
GGAGCCUUCACAGGUGCUGCAUGGCUGUCGUCAGCUCGUGCCGUGAGGUGUUGGGUUAAGUCCCCCAACGAGCGUAACCCUCGUUGCCAGUUAUAUUCUCUGGCGAGACUGCCCCGCAAACGGGGAGGAAGGUGGGGAUGACGUCAAGUCAGCAUGGCCCUUAUGCCUUGGGCUACACACACGCUACAAUGGGUGGUACAAUGGGUUGCAAUGGAGCGAUUCGGAGCUAAUCCCCAAAACCAUCCUCAGUUCAGAUUGCAGGCUGAAACCCGCCUGCAUGAAGUCGGAGUUGCUAGUAACCGCAUAUCAGCAUGUUGCGGUGAAUACGUUCUCGGGCCUU